rnacentral:rRNA from 1 species
AGGAAUAUUGGUCAAUGGGCGAGAGCCUGAACCAGCCAAGUCGCGUGAGGGAAGACGGCCCUACGGGUUGUAAACCUCUUUUGUCAGGGAGCAAGAACAGGCACGUGUGCCUGACUGAGAGUACCUGAAGAAAAAGCAUCGGCUAACUCCGUGCCAGCAGCCGCGGUAAUACGGAGGAUGCGAGCGUUAUCCGGAUUUAUUGGGUUUAAAGGGUGCGUAGGCGGACUGCCAAGUCAGCGGUAAAAUAGCGGGGCUCAACCCCGUCGAGCCGUUGAAACUGGUGGUCUUGAGUGGGCGAGAAGUACGCGGAAUGUGUGGUGUAGCGGUGAAAUGCAUAGAUAUCACGCAGAACUCCGAUUGCGAAGGCAGCGUACCGGCGCCCAACUGACGCUGAAGCACGAAAGCGUGGGUAUCGAACAGGAUUAGAUACCCUGGUAGUCCACGCAGUAAACGAUGAAUGCUAGCUGUCCGGGACGAAUGAGUCCUGGGUGGCACAGCGAAAGCGUUAAGCAUUCCACCUGGGGAGUACGCCGGCAACGGUGAAACUCAAAGGAAUUGACGGGGGCCCGCACAAGCGGAGGAACAUGUGGUUUAAUUCGAUGAUACGCGAGGAACCUUACCCGGGCUCAAACGCACUACGAAUGAUGCUGAAAGGUGUCAGCCAGCAAUGGCGGAGUGCGAGGUGCUGCAUGGUUGUCGUCAGCUCGUGCCGUGAGGUGUCGGCUUAAGUGCCAUAACGAGCGCAACCCCUAUUGACAGUUGCUAACGGGUCAAGCCGAGGACUCUGUCGAGACUGCCGGCGCAAGCUGUGAGGAAGGCGGGGAUGACGUCAAAUCAGCACGGCCCUUACGUCCGGGGCGACACACGUGUUACAAUGGCAGGUACAGCGGGAAGCCACCUGGCGACAGGGAGCGGAACCCGAAAACCUGUCUCAGUUCGGAUUGGAGUCUGCAACCCGACUCCAUGAAGCUGGAUUCGCUAGUAAUCGCGCAUCAGCCAUGGCGCGGUGAAUACGUUCCCG